CAGCAGUAGCCGCGGGAAUACGUAGGUGGCAAGCGUUGUCUGGAAUUAUUGGGCGUAAAGGGCUCGCAGGCGGUUUCUUAAGUCUGAUGUGAAAGCCCCCGGCUCAACCGGGGAGGGUCAUUGGAAACUGGGAAACUUGAGUGCAGAAGAGGAGAGUGGAAUUCCACGUGUAGCGGUGAAAUGCGUAGAGAUGUGGAGGAACACCAGUGGCGAAGGCGACUCUCUGGUCUGUAACUGACGCUGAGGAGCGAAAGCGUGGGGAGCGAACAGGAUUAGAUACCCCAGUAGUCCCUGUCUCUUAUAC
rnacentral:rRNA from 1 species